rnacentral:lncRNA from 1 species
CAAACCAAAUCCUUAAAUCAAAACCCAUAAGCUCUCACCUCUCUCUACUUUCUCUCUCUAUUCACCCUUCAUUAAAGAAGCUUUGAAGUUUGAAGAAGAAGAGCAAAUCCUCCAAGGUUCUACUCAAAUUUCGUGGCUAUUCAUCUUUAAGGUUGUGAUUGUUAAAGAGUUUGUGGUCAAUUGCUAGGAAGACUUGGAUCUUUUUUCAAGUCAUUGGUGAAUCCUCAUGUCCGGGGAUGUUGUCAUGUUCCACUCUAUGUAUGAGACUUUAUUUUUUCUUUUAUCAUUGAGACAAUUUAUGUAAGCCUAUAAUGGCGUAUUGUUAUUGUAUUGGCUAUGUCUAAACGUUUAUACUCUUGUACAUGAUUUAAUGUGAUACAAAGUAUUAGACUAAAUUCCUAUGUAUUGGUUAUGUUGUCUAAACGAGAAGC